CACAGACAUCUCACCAUGGAGUUUAUGCUUCUCUGGGCUUUCUUUGUUGCUGUUUUAAAAGGUGUCCAGUGUGAGGUGCAGCUGGUGGAGUCUGGUGGAGGUCUGGUGAAGCCUGGAGGGUCCCUGAGACUCUCCUGUGCAGCCUCCGGAUUCACCUUCAGUAGCUACGGCAUGAGCUGGGUCCGCCAGGCUCCAGGGAAGGGGCUGGAGUGGGUUGCAUACAUUUAUAGUAGUGGAAGCACAUACUACGCAGACUCCGUGAAGGGCCGGUUCACCAUCUCCAUAGACAACGCCAAGAACACAGUGGAUCUACAGAUGAACAACCUGAGAGUCGAAGACACGGCCACGUAUUUCUGUGCGAGAGACACAGUGAGGAAUCAUCAGGGAGCAGGGAGCGAUGGAGGUUACAGGCAGGUUUCCUGUCAGGGUCUGGGGCUUCCUCCCCAUAGAGUCAACUCCAGAGCAAGCAAAAUCAUCAUGGACCCAUUACAGAAAGUGCUCCACAUUCCUCAGGAGCCCGCCCGCUCAGCCCUGCAGGUGGACUGA